rnacentral:rRNA from 2 species
UGGCGGCCAUAGCGCCGUGGAACCACCUGAACCCAUGCCGAACUCAGAAGUGAAACGCGGUAGCGCCGAUGGUAGUGUGGCAUUCGCCAUGCGAGAGUAGGACACUGCCAGGCA